GACGAACGCUGGCGGCGUGCUUAACACAUGCAAGUCGAGCGGAGCGGCGAACGGGUGAGCAACGCGUGAGUAACUGCCCCCCUCUCCGGGAGAACAGUUGGAAACGGGUGCUAAAACCGGAUAGUGGGGGAUGACUCGGGCCAUAUCAGCUUGUUGGUGGGGUAGUGGCCUAGCAAGGCGACGACGGGUAGCCGGCCUGAGAGGGCGACCGGCCACAUUGGUCUGAGAUACGGCCCAAAGUCCUACGGGAGGCAGCAGUGGGGAAUAGUGCACAAUGGGGGAAACCCUGAUGCAGCAACGCCGCGUGCGGGAUGACGGCCUUCGGGUUGGAAACCGCUUUCAGCGAUGACGCGGUAGUGGCAGAAGAAGCACCGGCUAACUACGUGCCAGCAGCCGCGGUAAUUC
rnacentral:rRNA from 1 species